rnacentral:rRNA from 1 species
CGGGCUCUGAGAGGAGGGGCCCGGAGAUGGGUACUGAGACACGGACCCAGGCCCUAUGGGGCGCAGCAGGCGAGAAACCUUUGCAAUGUGCGAAAGCACGACAAGGUUAAUCCGAGUGUCUCCUGCUAAAGGAGUCUUUUGUCAGUUGUAGAAUCACUGGUGAAUAAGGGGUGGGCAAGUUCUGGUGUCAGCCGCCGCGGUAAAACCAGCACCUCGAGUGGUCAGGAGGUUUAUUGGGCCUAAAGCAUCCGUAGCCGGUUGCAUAAGUUUUCGGUUAAAUCUAUGCGCUUAACGUAUAGGCCGCCGAAAAUACUGUGCAGCUAGGGAGUGGGAGAGGUACACGGUACUCGAUAGGAAGGGGUAAAAUCCUUUGAUCUAUUGAAGACCACCUGUGGCGAAGGCGGUGUACCAGAACACGUUCGACGGUGAGGGAUGAAAGCUGGGGGAGCAAACCGGAUUAGAUACCCGGGUAGUCCCAGCUGUAAACGAUGCAGACUCGGUGAUGCAUUGGCUUGUGGCCAAUGCAGUGCCGCAGGGAAGCCGUUAAGUCUGCCGCCUGGGAAGUACGUACGCAAGUAUGAAACUUAAAGGAAUUGGCGGGGGAGCACCACAAGGGGUGAAGCCUGCGGUUCAAUUGGAGUCAACGC